rnacentral:rRNA from 1 species
UACGUAGGGUGCGAGCGUUAAUCGGAAUUACUGGGCGUAAAGCGUGCGCAGGCGGUUUUGUAAGCCAGAUGUGAAAUCCCCGGGCUUAACCUGGGAAUGGCAUUUGGGACUGCAAGGCUGGAGUUUGGCAGAGGAGACUGGAAUUCCUGGUGUAGCAGUGAAAUGCGUAGAUAUCAGGAGGAACACCGGUGGCGAAGGCGGGUCUCUGGGCAGUGAACUGACGCUGAGGAGCGAAAGCGUGGGGAGCGAACAGG